ACCAAUCGACCCGUGUGUUGAUAACAAAGCAAGAGACCAGCAGGAUCACAAACAAACCUUGGCGAUUUCGACUUUGGCGUUAAAGCAAAGUUAAACAGAUAAACGGCAGCUUUCAAUCUAAUUGUCAAGGUGGUAUCGUAAAAAUCUUAAUAAAACAGGAGAAAAGGCAAAAGCUAUUUCAUAUCUACGCAACGUCAGUUGUUUGUUUGAUCUCUAAAGCGUUUUGAGAAGGAUCUUGUUUUUACAUUCGACCAGACGCCACCUCAGCAAUUUAUCAGACUACUUCCAUUCUGAAAGGGACCUAUAGUCAAACAAGACUCAUUAAACGGCAUCUGCACGAUUUGGCGAUCGACUUUCGUUGCCUGUCACGUUCCACGUCACGUCAAGCGCAAUACUGGCAUCAGUCUUUCCAGCAGCGACUUCGGAGAAAUAGUUUCGCUCAACAAGAAUCUUCAAUUCGUAUAAAAAUCGCGGAUGUUUAUGAUGUCAAACUUGUCGAGAAAGAGUUCCUAGGCAAUCAAACGGAAACUAUACCACGCCAACUGAAUCCGCGACUGAGCCCACAGGAAUUAAUCCAAAAGUCACGUGACCAUAAUU